UACGUAGGGACCAAGCGUUGUUCGGAUUUACUGGGCGUAAAGGGCGCGUAGGCGGCUUGACAAGUCACUUGUGAAAUCUCCGGGCUUAACUCGGAACGGCCAAGUGAAACUGUCAUGCUAGAGUGCAGAAGGGGCAAUCGGAAUUCCAGGUGUAGCGGUGAAAUGCGUAGAUAUCAGGAGGAACACCAGUGGCGAAAGCGGCCACCUGGACUGCACCUGACGCUGACACGCGAAAGCUAGAGGAGCGAACGGG
rnacentral:rRNA from 1 species